rnacentral:rRNA from 1 species
CCUACGGGGGGCAGCAGUGGGGGAUAUUGCACAAUGGGGGGAACCCUGAUGCAGCGACGCCGCGUGGGUGAAGAAGCGCCUCGGCGCGUAAAGCCCUGUCAGCAGGGAAGAAAAUGACGGUACCUGAAGAAGAAGCCCCGGCUAACUACGUGCCAGCAGCCGCGGUAAUACGUAGGGGGCAAGCGUUAUCCGGAUUUACUGGGUGGAAAGGGGGCGCAGACGGCGAUGCAAGCAAGGAGUGAAAGCCCGGGGCCCAACCCCGGGACUGCUCUUGGAACUGCGUGGCUGGAGUGCAGGAGGGGCAGGCGGAAUUCCUGGUGUAGCGGUGAAAUGCGUAGAUAUCAGGAGGAACACCGGUGGCGAAGGCGGCCUGCUGGACUGCAACUGACGUUGAGGCCCGAAAGCGUGGGGAGCAAACAGGAUUAGAUACCCCAGUAGUC